ensembl:misc_RNA
CAAAUCUGGCAGAUUUCUCCAGAAAAGUGGCCAUCCAUGGAAUGAGUGAAAUACUCUUUCUAUUCCA